CUGAGCACCUUGGCCCAAGAGAGGAAACGGAAGGCACUGAGGCAGUCCACAGCCCAGCCACAGUGUCCUCAGAUGGGCAGCUCAGGCCUGGUGGAGGGGUGUGGCCGCAGGUGGGAUGCAGCCGUGUUCAGCCCUGUGAGCAGGACGCCUUGAUGUUUCACAAGGAUAUUUCGCAGUCCUCCUGCGCUGGAAAUGUACUGGCUCUGUUCCUGACACAUUCCUAUGGCCCCCAGCGUCACACAGGUGUUUGGGACAGCACCUGACCUCCUAAUCUGAUGGGCUUACAAGGAAAGGUCAAGCCCCACAGCUCACACAAGCUGCAGGACAAGUCUGUGGUGCUCAGUGUGUGCACAAGGAUUCCAGAACAUUCCCUUUAUCUCAAGAGGCCCUUGUACCCCGAGCAGUAUACUCCCAGGUUAACUCCCAGGCCCUGUCGAGCUGCCUGGAGGCCUCACUCUGCUCUGCCCUUUGCAACUGCUGAGGGAGUCACCACGUCCCCUGGAGGUGCAGCAGGACUGGCGCCCUCACAAUGAACCUCAUCAGCCCUGGACAGGUCACCUCGCCAACCCUUGGCUUCCUUGGCUUCUAAAAGGAAUAUGAUGCCACCUGAAGGGUUGAAGGAGCAUCUGCCCCCAUCUCAUCAAAAGUACAAGCUCUAAAGGACCCUCCAUGGCCAGCAGAGCUGAGCAGAGGGACCUGGUAUGAGGGUAGCUGAAUAAGCCUCCGGGGAAUGGCUCUGCUUCCUCAUCCUCCUCCUGCCUCUGACAGCUCCCCUGCUGUCCCAGAAGACCCUCCCUGGCCUCAUCUUCCCUGUCCCAUCUUUGUCAACAAUGCCCAAGAUUCUUUCCCAGACUAGAGACCCACAACUCCAACACCAUCCUGGGUAUUUCCAGACAUCUCAAACGCAUGUCACAAAAUAGACUCCCACCCACCUCUUCUCUAUGCCAUAUUGUGACUUUAAACUUUUCAUGACGUAUACAGACUCACCUUAAAGUGCACAUGCACAAACUGAAACACCCAGGGCACCAGCACCCAGAUGAAGAAACAAACAUUGGUGGCACCCCAGAAGUCCCCUGUGCCCCUUCCAGUAGGGACCAAAAUCCUGACUUCUGUCAGUUUAGCCCAGUUUUAAACUUGGUAUAAAUGGCAUCAUUUAGUCAUACCCUCCUGUCACUAGCUUCUUUCACUCAACACUGUGAGAUUGACCCCCAGCCUUGGGAGGAGUUGCAUGUGAUUCGUUCUCUUGCAGGGUGAGGGUCUCACUAGUUGUCUACUCUAGUGAAGGGCAAUUGAGCUGCUCUCCAUUUGGGGCCACUUGGGUACUGCUGUAAUGGAACAUUGUUGUGAAUGUCCACAAUUUAUUGCUUAAGUGUACAUCACCUGGCAGCAUUUAAGAGAGUCUGACCUAUAUAUGGUAAGAUGGGAAACUGGGGAGGAGUCAUGAAGGAAUAUGGCCUCCAGCCAAGGGAAGAUGCUGAACCCAGGCAGCAUGGCUCACAGCCUGCAGCCAGGCUCUACAGAGGAGGAACUGGCCAUACCUCAACCCCAGUCCCUGGGAACUCCAGGCCUCCUAUAUUUGGGUUGGCCUGGGUUUGCAGCUGAGGUUGGAACCAUCCUAGAUUGUCCACAAGGAGCCCUGUAGAAACAGGCUUCCUUUCUGCUUGCCAACCUCACAGUGGCCCAUGUGUCCCCAGAACUGGCCAAUCUACAUGCCUAGAGAGGCUCAGCCCUCCCCAGUUGCUAUAUAGCCCUAGAGGGCGGCCGAAGCUUCCCUGGAGGGCUGGCUGAUGGCUGUUUUGUGCCUGAGGAUGGUUGACCUGCAACAAGAGCCGAUGACCAAAGGCCAUCCAUGCACGUUGCAGAUGGCAGAGGCAUUGUCCCCUGGACUACCUGUCUAGUCGUAAUGCUAGAGUGCUGGACUGAGAGCCAUGAAAAUAUACCCCUACCCCUUUGCUACCCCCAAGACACACAUGCCUUAUUUCAGUACCAUUCAAGAACUCAUCCUAGCCCUUCAAGUCCUCAGAGUGACAGUCAUUCACUCAUAUAGUCACCCAUAGACUCGGCAUACAGUUAUUGAGAAUCUUUGUGAGCCAGAUACUGAUCCUGAAACUGGAUUAAGUAAUGAAAAAAAACCAGCCCAGACUCUGCCCUCAGGAAGCCUGCAGGCUGGUGAGCAAGCUCGGUUGUGGCAAAUAAGCUCCCCCGUUUUGCAUCCUACCAGGUACCUGUGUCACUCUGGGUGAUGCAAGCCUAUAGUUGCAGCUCUGGCCUGAAGAUUGACCUUCUCUCAGACAGAGAGAUUUCCUUUGGAAAGUGUAGUCAAGUGUCCAUGAGUGUAAUGUAAGCUACAGAAAGUACAGUUUCACACAGGUAGGAUAUUUUUUUUUGGAGGGGAGGGGUAACUUUUAGCCAAAGGAAUUGUAUGCUGGGGUGUGGUGGGAAGGAAUCACUGCAGGACCCCUGGGUUUAUAAGGUCAAGGAAUCCAAAAUGCAGACCCAAAGAGUGCAGGGGAGGGGCACAAGGCAAAUGCAUAGGGAAGAUCCCAAAGCCUUUUUAGGGUUGGCCCUGCAGGACAGGAGACAUCAGUCCUGUGGAGGGCAGGCUGCAGAGGUUUCUGGCUGGAUGGUAGGCACUGGUGCCAGGCCCAGGCCUGGAGGGAGCCCUGCCCUCUGCAAGUGCACAUAAGCCUCUUGUGACUGUGAUGAUCUCUCUUGGUGACUGACAGCCGGGAGGCAUCCACCAAGCCUGUGUGAAGCAAUGGGGCAUCAAGCAGAGGGUGGGGCAGACUAAGCUAAUGGAGCCUAAUGGGAGGAAGGGGUGACAGGCUUCGCCUAGAGCAGCACUUUCCCCAGGCACAGCCCAGCUUGUGACAACACGCUCCCUGCUGCCAGCUGGAACACGACCGUGACUCUCUUGGGCUCACCAUGGCAUCUCCAACCAAGACGCUGGAAUCUGUGAACUGUCACCACUCCAGGAGGCUGACUGCAUUCCUUCUUUCCAAGUCUCAAGGAGAAAGAUGUCCUAGGGGGGCGCCUCCCAAAUGUAAGGUGCACACAAAUCCCCUGGCGCUUAAGACAGCUCGGGACUCGGGUGGUCUGAGUGGGACUGAGAUUCUCAUUUCUCACAAGUUCUAGAGUGUGCAAAGCUACCUGUGAGUAGGCCACACUUUGAGUAGCAAGAGUUGAACAUUACCAGAAGGGAAGAAACCAAACUGUCACCUCGGUUUGGGGCGGGGUGGGGGGGUUGGAUCUAGCACCUGGUUGUACAGGCAGUUUUUAAAGUACAGAUAACUGAUUUCUUGAGCAGUCUGCUUCAUGAGAUGCAAAUAAAAUACGGGUUUUUAAGUCAUUCUCUUUCAACAAUCAGAAAGCUUCUUUUUUUUUUUUUUUUUUUUGAGUAAUGGAACUGAGAUGAUGGCACCAUUGUUAGAAAUAGGGAAGCCAUUUAAAGAAGAAUGAAAUUAUGGCAUUUGUCAGUCAAUGGACGGAGUUGGAGAAUGUCAUGCUAAGCAAAAUAAGCCAAUCCCAAAAAAAAACAAAGGCCAAAUGUUUUCUCUAACAUGCGGAUGCUAAUUCACAAUGGAGGCCCAGCACUAGAGAAGAAUAGCAUUACCUGAGAUUAGGUAGAGGGAAGUGAAGGGAGGGGAGGGGAGGGGAUGUGGAGAUGGAAAGAUAGUAGAAUGAAACAGACAUUAUUACUGUAUGUAUAUAUGUGACUACAUGACCAAUGUGACUCUACAACAUGUACACUCAGAAAAAUGAGAAAUUAUAUCCUAUCUAUGUAUGAUAUAUCAAAGUUCAUAAAUGCAUUCUACUGUCAUGUAUAGCUAAUUAAAACAAAUAAAAAAUUUCAAAAUUAAAAAACCCUCAAAAAAAGAAAGAAAGAAGGAAGCCAGAGACAGAUGGUUUAAAGGUAAAUAAUAAUAAAAACCACCUUUGCUUCAAUGCCAA